CCUACGGGUGGCAGCAGUGGGGGAUAUUGCACAAUGGGGGAAACCCUGAUGCAGCGACGCCGCGUGAGUGAAGAAGUAUUUCGGUAUGUAACGAUCUAUCAGCAGGGAAGAAAAUGAAAGUACCUGACCAAGAAGCACCGGCUAACUACGUGCCAGCAGCCGCGGUCAUACGUAGGUGGCAAGCGUUCUCCGGAUUUACUGGGUGUAAAGGGAGAGUAGACGGUUGUGUAAGUCUGGAGUGAAAGCCCGGGGCCCAACCCCGGGACUGCUUUGGAAAGUGUGUGAGUGGAGUACAGGAGGGGCAGGCGGAAUUCCUGGUGUAGCGGUGAAAUGCGUAGAUAUCAGGAGGAACACCGGCGACGAAGGCGGCCUGCUGGACUGAAACUGACGUUGAGGCUCGAAAGCGUGGGGAGCAAACAGGAUUAGAUACCCUUGUAGUC
rnacentral:rRNA from 1 species